CAAGGGUUCUCCUUUGUCCAUUCCAUUUCGCAGAAGAACAAGAAUAUUGCUGGUAUAAACCAAAGCCUCCGCUGUGGCUAGAGAAUUAGAAAAGCAUCUCUGAGUUCUCUCUUCUUCAUUCUCUCCAACACUCACAAGCCUUUGCUCGCUUUCAACCCAAUCACACCAGCGUUUUCAGUUGUGUGAGGACCCCCAAUCGCUACAGAGCCCAGACAACAAGAGCAAACCACUCUGAGCUACCAAAUCCGUGUCAGGCUGAGGUACUCAUAGUGGUGCUCGCUGUGUAAGGUCUGCGGAUCCAAGAGAGAUUCAAGGGAAAGGGCAAUAAACACACAAGCUCAAAGGA